AGGGCCUGGCGCACAUAAGGUGUGACCUUUUCAUUCCCGUUGUUAUGGAGGGCCACAUCUGCCAGAGCCUGGAGUCUGCGAAGGCCGGGACCCGGUUCCCCGGCCCACAGUGGGGGUGUGCAAACCCGAGAGAACUGGGUAAGUUGGGGUCGGCUUGCAGUUUGGGGUACCCCGAGGGCGGUGUACGUCGGUAAGAUUGUAACAGUAUUACUGGAAGACUUAUUCGACUGUCCUGAUGAUACUUGUAAUAGGAAGUGCCGUCAGAAGCGAUAACUGACGACGUCUAAUGUCUAUCUGACCGCAGUCGCUGAAACCUCUACAACUUAGUUGACCGUAACUGCCAGAGCCCUGCCCUGAAUUCCUGUCCUUACUCCCUCUUUAAGAUUGCGUACCCACUGCAGAGUGCUGAAGACGGGGUAGCCACGAGGUGAGAGGCUCUCUGGUGUAGGGUUUAACAUGGAACGUAGUUUUGUCACUUGAAUGCACGGAAAUUGGCGUUUUGACAGUUUUCUACGUUUAGGUGUUUUAUACACUUUAGGGUAACGUUAUCAUGUCAUUGCAUAGGGUGGAACUUAAAUAGAAACUGGAGAUGGCUGCUUCAGCCACAGUCCUAACCUAGAACUGCAUUUAAAGCAAACUGAUAAUGCAGAAACAAACUCCUUCGUUAAGAAAUGUCUCCAGUAGCAGGGUUAGCUUAAGUUUCAGGUAGGGUCUAGAUCUGCGGUUGGAACAGUACUGGAGGGUUGUGAGGUGCUUGACUGCUCUGAUGAAAUCACUAAUAGGAAGUGCCGUCAGAAGCGAUAACUGACGAAGACUACUCCUGUCUGAUUGCAGUCAAGUCUUCACCACUUGCUGGUUCCCAGGAGUAAACUUGUUUGAACGGUGACCUAAUUGCUAUAUUCACCUAGGUUGCAAAUUCGUGAAGAAUCAGCAUCAUGUUUGGCAGCUGAGUAUUGGAGCCAGGAGCCUGCCAUGAGGUUUUGAGAACAGAGUGCUGUUUUAGAGCUGGCAGCAGCAUCUCAGCCCAAGAGAAGGUUAUAUUCCCAGAGGAUGUCAGUCCCAAGGACCAGUAGCUGCCAUCAGUUUGGAUUCUGAAAACUAACUGGCAUCAACACUGGGUGUAGAAACAUGCUUGCCUUAUGUAUCAGAGGACAUGCUCAGCAGAUCCAAGAGAUAUAUUUGGCAACUUUUUCUAGAAAAGGCACAUUGGGUAUCAUUCAUUACAUUCUUGAGUUUUUUUGGGUUUUUUUUUUUUUUUUUGAGACAGUCUUGCUGUAUUGCCCAGGCUGGAGUGUGGUGGCACAAUCACAGCUCAUUGCAUCCUCAAUCACCCAGGCCUAAGCAAUCCUCCCACCUUGUAGCUGGGACUACAGCUCACAGCACACCUGGCUAAAAUUUUUUUUUUGUUGAGACGGAUUCUCUAUGUUGCCCAGGCUGGUCUCAGGCUCCUGGGCUCAGAUGGUCCUCCUGCCUCAGCUUCCAAAGGCACAGGCCAAGUUGUAGCUUUGUCCCUUGCCAUCAUGCCCAACAAGAGGUUCUAUACCUUUUAAUGAAUUGACUUUCAUAAAUUGGUUAUGUUGGUGGGCAAAGUUCUUUAAGCUGGAAAUUGUAAAUUCCUCCUGAAAUGUUUUUUCAUGCAGUUACCAUGAACUAAUACUACAAUAAAGGAUGGUCUUGGGUGUCAA
ensembl:lncRNA SNHG29 small nucleolar RNA host gene 29